CUUUCAUUUUACUUUUAUAACUCCUCAUACAUCUACAAAUCAUAAGAAUAAUACAUAUAUUAUAAAGUUUAUGAAGUUACGAAGGUGCAGCAACUCCUUUAUUAACAUAACCUAAGAAGAGUAAAUACACUAUCCGAAAGGUAGGAGAUCUUUUACCGAUUUACGACUUGGAUGGUGAGCUCGCAGGAUCAUCGAGUCCCUCACGAUGGGCGGUCGUGUUUUUCGUUGCAUUCACCAGGAUCGACCACACCAUCUACCUGCGUUUAUAAUCCGAAAGCAUUCGCGAGAGCACGCACCAAGGCUUGAAACAUUAAAAAGAUACUGUAUCGACACCUUUGAAGAACACGCCAGAAAGGUUUCCGUGAGGUCCUUCUUUUGGAAUCACCGUGUUUAGCGGAUUUCCGGUGAACCUAUGGAUUAAAUGGCACGCACCAGUGAAACUAUUAAAAGUUUAAACGAUGCAUACAUUCUUGAUAUAUUAACUGUAACAUUUAUGUAACUUCACACUUUAUACACUUCAUAAAUGUAAACACACAUAUUUAUACACAUUGUUACACGUAACAAUGAGGUUAUAUUAUAA